AUACUCAACAGUCGGCGCACGGAACAAGCCCAGCAAAUAUUCGUUCUCUUCCUUUCAGCUGAGGGAACAGUGGGUGUCAUCAGAUUUGUAGGCUCCUUCUCCUUCAGUCUCAUCCUGGCCAGUGGCCUAAUUGCCUGGUCCAGGCUGAAGGCCAGCCAUGUGGGAUUACCUUUGAUCCUGGACAGUAUAUGCUCCCUGCUGAUUCUCCUCUUCCCUGCCUUUGGCUGCAUCCAUCCCUCAGAGUGAAGCCCUACUGCCGAGCCUCCAGGAAGCUCGUUUCCCUCACACUUUCUUCCCCAGCAGGACAGUCUACAUCCUUCCCAAACCUGGAGCUCUUGGCAAGAACAGGCUGGGUCUUUGAUAUCUAUAACAUCAGGAUGAAACCUUUGCAGUUGCCCCAUGUUGCAAAUGCAUGCUGACUGCAGGUGUUCUAACUCAGAGAUGAAUAAAUAUUCGGC
rnacentral:lncRNA from 1 species